GCCGGGCAUGGUGGCGCAUGCCUGUAAUCUUAGGUACUUGGGAGGCUGAGGUGGAGGGAUCGCUUGAGCUCAGAGGUGGAGGCUGUAGUGAGCCAGGUUUGCACCACUGCACUCCACCCUGGGUGACAGAGUGAGACUCUGUCUCAA
rnacentral:SRP_RNA from 1 species